rnacentral:rRNA from 1 species
GACGAACGCUGGCGGCGUGCUUAACACAUGCAAGUCGAACGGUGAAGCGCCUUCCUUUUUGGUGGGUGUGGAUGAGUGGCGAACGGGUGAGUAACACGUGAGUAACCUGCCCCCUUCUUCUGGAUAACCGCAUGAAAGUGUGGCUAAUACGGGAUAUUCUGUGUCUGUCGCAUGAUGGGUCUGGGAAAGAUAUUGUUUCGGUGGGGGAUGGGCUCGCGGCCUAUCAGCUUGUUGGUGGGGUGAUGGCCUACCAAGGCGGUGACGGGUAGCCGGCCUGAGAGGGUGGACGGUCACACUGGGACUGAGACACGGCCAAGACUCCUACGGGAGGCAGCAGUGGGGAAUAUUGCACAAUGGGCGCAAGCCUGAUGCAGCGACGCCGCGUGAGGGAUGGAGGCCUUCGGGUUGUGAACCUCUUUCGCCAGUGAAGCAGGCCUGCCUCGUUUGUGGGUGGGUUGACGGUAGCUGGAUAAGAAGCGCCGGCUAACUACGUG